AGUGUUCGCUGGAGUCCUACACUUGACGCCGCCGAUAUCUCCUACGGCGCAAGCAUUGCUCACAGACGCUAGAUUGAACUCGGCGGUCGUAGUGCCUGAUGCGAAGCAGUCUAAGCACCCUUCGUUACUUUGGGUGGCCUCUCCCCUCUAGCACUGCUGCUCACUAGGUGUCGCGACUCUCGAAAUCAAUGUAGCGUCUCUGACCAAGGGUAACAUUGGGAACCAUUAUCACGAGCGUCUGGCAGGUGAUCAGAAAUGCUUCUACAUAAAUGUUCCUACGUGCGCUCUUAACAAGACUAAAUUGCUUAAACUGUGGCAAACAAACUUGUUACACUGAUGUUGUAAAAUUAAGCAGGUGAUGGCGCAGCAGUGCCCCUUCAUAAAGUGCCCGUGACACAAAAUGUCUCCUAGAGACCAUAAUUUCGGCGGGUAAAUAACAAAAACGAAACAUGAGUGGAGGCCGUCGACUUUCGUAUCUCACGCUUGACAACAAGCCCUCGCUCGAUAUCUGGUCUAGCCUCACCUAGUCGUGGUCUAGCCUCCCUUAGUCUCCAAAUGUUUAUUCAGAAAUGUUUAGGUUGCCUUGUAUAUAAACAUAUGGCCUGCGCAUGGUGGACAUUAACACAAAGGCGAUGCCUCUAAAGUUUCUUGUCGGUAUUUUUUGUUUACAUCACACAUAUUUCACUUGUGCCCCUAGGCUUCGUGUCGCUGUGUUGUUAUACGUUUGUUGCGGCUUACCCUUUAGUAUCUGCUCUUAGUCAUUUUUAUUUCUCCUUGUCAUCAUUCUUUUUUAAUUUUGCAGCUUAGCCCGAAGGGGACAGCAUUCACAUGACCGCAGUGUCUAGUGCAGCAGUUCAACUAUAUAAACUCUCUGGACGAUAUCUUAACUGCGCGGGACUGCUAAUUCUGAUAUCAAGCAUUAUGUGCAUCGGGGAAUCAGCCACUUUAGAUAAGGCCAACGAAAACGGUGAUAUAUUAGUAUGCCACGAUAGCUGUGGCAAGUUCAACAAUUACACGUGUGCCGGUGGUUGCACUUGUGGUUAUAUCGCUGGAAAUGAAAAUGGCACCUGCUAUGAUUUCAGUGCUUUGGAUUAUGAGUACACUGACUAUGUUGCGCCGACACCAACGGCAUAGGUUUAUUGAGCAUCUCAAUGCGCUCCAACGCAUAGGUAACAAUAAAUAA
rnacentral:lncRNA from 1 species